GGAGACCUGUCGGCCGGCGGCGCAGGAGCGCCAACCUGGGGCGCCGGGCGACCGGACGCGUGGCUGCCACUACCGGGACGGUCUGGCCCCGCGGGCCUCGGACUCCCUUUAUCAGGAGUCGCUUUUCGGUAGUAUGCCUUGGCGCUUGUACGCUUCGCUGGCAAUGCGAGCACGCUCCCAGCACCCCCGCACACUGGUGCACGCACGCUCAGCUUGUUUUGCACCGUGCCUACACACUUAGCGUGCUCCUGCUGUUAGGCCCCUACGCUGCACGUCAUAGCGGUGGCCCAACCUGUCCUUGCCUAGUCUCCGGCCCGGCGGCCCGCACUCCGACGCGAGCUCCCCUCCUCCCAGCCCAGCAGCCCUACUCGCGCGCGGAAGUGCGUCGCAGGAGGAAAAGCACCCUCCCCCCCACCCGGUGUCCUGGGAGGCGAACCCCCUGCAGUUCAGGAGAGAGAAAACCUUUCACCAUAACCCUGAGAAGAAAAUAUUUUCAAGUAUUAUCUCCAUCCCACUGAUAAGAGAACUGAGCUGCAAAAAGCGUGAAUUCAGGCUCAGUGGCGUCCCGGGGAGAGGCAGAGAGAGGGGGAGACAAAGAGAAUCUCAAGCAGGUCCUGCACUGCCAGCGUGGAGCCUGAUGUGGAGCUCGAACUCACGAACCAUGACAUCAUGACCUGAGCCGAAAUCAAGAGUUGGACGCUUAACCAACAGCCACCCAGGUGCCCCAGGGUUCUUGGUAUGUUUAGAUGUUGGUAUCUUGACUUUGACACUUUCCUGAUUGCCCUUGAUAGCAGCCUCAAGGCGGGCUUUCAGGGCUGGAGAAGAAGCCAUUACAUUUUUAAAAAC